AACGGACGCUGGCGGCAUGCCUAACACAUGCAAGUCGAACGAGAUCUUCGGGUCUAGUGGCGCACGGGUGCGUAACGCGUGGGAAUCUGCCCUUUGGUUCGGAAUAACAGUUGGAAACGACUGCUAAUACCGGAUGAUGACGAAAGUCCAAAGAUUUAUCGCCAGAGGAUGAGCUCGCGUAGGAUUAGCUAGUUGGUGUGGUAAAGGCGCACAAAGGCGACGAUCCUUAGCUGGUCUGAGAGGAUGAUCAGCCACACUGGACUGAGACACGGCCCAGACUCCUACGGGAGGCAGCAGUGGGGAAUAUUGGACAAUGGGCGAAAGCCUGAUCCAGCAAUGCCGCGUGAGUGAUGAAGGCCUUAGGGUUGUAAAGCUCUUUUACCCGGGAUGAUAAUGACAGUACCGGGAGAAUAAGCUCCGGCUAACUCCGUGCCAGCAGCCGCAGUAA
rnacentral:rRNA from 1 species